AAAGUUUAUUUUUUAUUUCUAUGUUCGUACCUACCCACGCUGUAUACAUCACGUGACAUUGUUUUCGUCCUUCUCUACUUCCUGGAUGUGUUCCGAGCGCGCGGACAUACAAGUGCCUGCGCAGAUUUCCUGAACUACUAGGGUCGCGGGGAAACUUGAGCCUUUCCCAGGGAGCAUGGGGUAAAAGGCGGGGUUCACCCUGGAAAGGGUGCCAAUCCAUCGCAGGGCACAUAAGACAUUCACACACCCAUUCAUACUCUACAGACACUUUGGACAUGCCAAUCAGCCUACCAUGCAUGUUUUUGGACUGGGGGAGGAAACUCGAGUACCCGGAGGAAACCCCCACAGCACGGGGAGAACAUGCAAACUCUGCACAUACAGGGUAGAGGCAGGAAUCGAACCCGCAACCCUGGAGGUGUGAGGCGAAUGUGCUAGCCACUGUGGGCCCUGUUUAAACACCAUCUUUACACAUAAUUGAUCUUUAUGAUCACAAAAUUGAUAUAACGUUUGUACCUGAAAUUACAUCCAUACAUGUACAUAUUUAUAAAUACAAUGCAAACUAUCCUUUCAGAUGGUGUAUGUAUAUUACUAUGUUUCUGGAUGUCAUUCAGACAUUCAAAUUCAAAUUUUAAUGUCUACAAGACUAAACUUAAUCAGAGUUUAGUGUUUACAAAACUUCUUGCACCUAUGCACCUGUUGGGUUGAUAUGUCACAUGAAAUCUGAGCAGGCUGUUUAGGUUGAGGUCGCGUUCCAUCAAAUUGAUAUCAGAGUUCAGUACACAUAUGAAAUUGGCUAAAAUCAAAUCUAAAUGAACCACAGUAAUGAUCUGAACAACGAUUGAACGAUUUCCACAGUCAUGUUUUACAUUUGCAUCUUUUAAUGUUCUGAAUAAUCACAUAAUGUUCUACAGUAUGGUCUUUGUCUAUGCAGAAGUUAAUAUUUAGGACAGCCACAAUUUAAACUAAUUUAUGUCCAAAUUCUGUCAUAUGUCACAAUACCGCAGUUUAUUCCCAGCAUUAAAGGCUUCAACUUGAAGUGUUGAUAAAUAUUUGAUUACUUGCCUGGAAGGAAAACCACAAAACUCAAAUGUGUAGGAACCAUCUGAUUUAAAUUGUAAAUAAUUAUACUUGCAGAUCUGUGGAUAUACACAGGACACUACUGCAACUGCACUUCAUUAAUUUUAUUGGAUGUAGCUUGAACACAGUGUAACCAAUAUUCAGUCCUGCUGACAUUGUGACCUUGAGCAAGGCACCUCGUUUAAACCAGCUCUGUGAAAUCCUCGCUCCAGCUGGUUAAUAUUAACUGCCUUGAGUUAAAAAAAAAAAGAGCAAUUUUUUCAUUCAGCAUUCAUAUCAGAAAUAAGCUCUACUGUAAAGUAAAAUAAACAUGGAGUGAUCAAAUAAACACUCGAGUUUGUAAAGUACUUUCAAAAUGGCUUCAAUUACUGACUUGUGUUGAUCCAGGCUUAGAGAUCUGG